rnacentral:rRNA from 1 species
AUUGAACGCUAGCGGGAUGCCUUACACAUGCAAGUCGAACGGAGUGGCGAACGGGUGAGUAAUGUAUCGGAACGUGCCCAGUCGCGGGGGAUAACUACCCGAAAGCGUAGCUAAUACCGCAUACUAUUGGACCGGCCGAUGUCGGAUUGGCUAGUUGGGGGGGUAACGGCCUACCAAGGCGACGAUCCGUAACUGGUUUUAGAGGACGACCAGCCACACUGGAACUGAGACACGGCCCAGACUCCUACGGGAGGCAGCAGUGGGGAAUUUUGGACAAUGGGGGAAAGCCUGAUCCAGCCAUGCCGCGUGUGUGAUGAAGGCCUUCGGGUUGUAAAGCACUUUAAGAAGGGAAGCGGUACCUGCAGAAUAAGCACCGGCUAACUCCGUGCCAGCCGCCGCGGUAAUAC